CUUUCUCUCUUCCUUGUCUACUCCUGCAUCUCAAGAAGCUAACACUACCAUGGUUGUCCGUUUCUUUUUGUUGUGGGUGAUUGAAAUCUACCUUCGUUAUCUCCUAUAUUCUUUCUCAGCUUACAUAAAGGUAUCUUCCGGUGGAUGCAGUGGAUUCCAAGAUGAUUUUGACAGAGGUACCAAGUCUUGAGUGCUUUGGAAGAAAUUCUUUGAAGUACCAUAAUAUUGGCAAAAAUAUUUACCAAAAGGAAAAAGCUCGGAAGGUGGAUUAUUUUUCUCCGAAGAGCGGAUAAAAGAAUGUGGUCUAUCUAUUAUCAUAGCAGAUCAGGUUUUGAUGUUUUGACAUGUGGAUGGGAGAAAGUUCUGGACGCUUAUGGCAUGAAUGCGGGAAAUGGUUGUAUUUUUCAACUUGUCCAUCACCGGGGACAUACAUUUGGUGUAUGAAAAAUCUAAAAUGCUAGAAGUACGAUGCCGAAAGAACUAGUUGUAUGCCAGUUUCUCAUUAAUGAUUUUUUUAAAUUGUUG